rnacentral:rRNA from 1 species
AGAAUGACUCUCAGCAACGGAUAUCUAGGCUCUUGCAUCGAUGAAGAACGUAGCGAAAUGCGAUACUUGGUGUGAAUUGCAGAAUCCCGUGAACCAUCGAGUCUUUGAACGCAAGUUGCGCCCGAUGCCAUUAGGUUGAGGGCACGUCUGCCUGGGUGUCACAU